rnacentral:lncRNA from 1 species
UUUUUUUUUUUUUAAGAUUUUAUUUAUUUAUUCAUAGACACAGAGAGAGAGAGGCAGAGACACAGGCAGAGGGAGAAGCAGGCUCCAUGCAGGGAGCCCGAUGUGGGACUCGAUCCCGGGUCUCCAGGAUCACACCCCAGGCUGCAGGUGGUGAAACCGCUGCGCCACCGGGGCUAGCCUCAAGCUCUUUAAUACACCCAUGACUUCACAUGGUUAUCUUUUUGGUGUGUGGUGAGAACACUUAAGAACUACUCUCUAAGGAAAUUUCAAGUAUACAACACAGUGUUAUUCACUAUAGUCAGCAUGCUGUACUUUAAGGUCCCUAGAACUCAUUUGUCUUAUAACUGAAACGGCCAAUAGGUAGAUGACAAGGUUCUCGACAUCACUAAUUGUCAGGAAAACACAAAUUAUAACCACAAAGAGGUAUCACCUUACACCUGUUAGAGUGGCUGUCAUCAGAAAGACAAGAAGUCACAAGUAUUGGCAAUGGUGAGGAUGUGGAGUAAAGGGAACCCUUGUACACUGUUGGUAGGAAUAUAAAGUGGUACAGCCAUUAUGAAAAACAGUAUGCAGAUUCCUCGAGAAAUUAAAAAUAGAACUACCAUUUGAUUCAGCAGUUGCACUUCUGGGGUAUACAUCCAUAGGAAAUAAAAUCAGGAUUUUGAGGAGCUAUCUGUACUCCCAUGUUAGUUGCAACAUUACUCAAAAUAGCCAAGAUAUGUUAACACUGUGACCACUGACAGAUGAAUGGAUAAGGAGUAUGUCAUUCUCUCUCUCUCUCACACACACACAGGAAUAUUAUUCUGCCACGAAAAAGAGGGAAAUCCAUUUUCUUUUUUUCUUUUCUUUUUUUGGGGGGCGGAAUCCAUUUUCAACAACAUGGAUGAACCUGGAGGGUAUUAUGCUAAGUGAAAUAAGCCAGACACAGAAAGACAAAUACCAUCUGAUCUCACUUCUAUGUAGAACCUACAAAAGUCAAAGUCACAGAAGAGAGAGUAGAAUGGGGGGAAUGGAGAUGCUGAGAAAGGGAUAAACAGCUUUGAAAUGCACACAGCACACUGAUGUCCUAAGUGUCCUUCAACGUUACGAAGUGAUUUUCUUUAACCCUCCCAGUGGGUCCGUGGGUCUCAAUUUUACGCCCUCUCACUUGUCGUAGGAGCUCUGCCCCUCCUUACCUCUGUGAUUAUUUCAGGAGCACCUCUUGCUGAGAUUCUCUGAUGGUUAAGCAGGACUCUUCCAUCUAGUUUACCACUGAGAAAAAGAAAGCAAGGAAUUCAAGACCACUAAGUACCUGGCUCCUGGAGGAGAGUUGCUAGAAGGUUCUGACAGAAAACUGGGUCUUGAAUCUUGUAUGUUAGAUGUGACUCUGGAGCAGGAUUCCACACCCACACUUGACCUUGGGGAACAGUUCAUUGCUGUUUUAGCUUGGGUUGCUGUAACAAAAAUACCGAAGACUGCAUAGCUUAAACAACAGAAAAUUGUCGUUAUGGAGGCUGGGAAGUCUGAGAUCAGGGUGCCAGCCUGGGUGGGUUCCAGGGAGGGCCCUUCCUGGUUUACGGAUGGCCAUCUUCUCGCUAUGUCUUCAUGUGGUGGAGAGCAAGCUCUAGUCUCUUGCUCUUCUUAUAAGGACAUUAAUCCAUUCUGCGGGCUCUACCUUUAUGACCUUAUCUAAACCUAACUACCUCCCAAAAGCCCCAUCUCCUAUACCACCCCACUAGGGGGUUAGGAUUUCAACCUAAGAGUCUCAGCAGGGGGCACAAACAUGGAGUCCAUAACUACUGCUACUUGCCUACUUUUCCUGUCUUUUUUUGUUGUGAUUUUUGGAUAUAGGAGUCUGCAGUCAUUUUCUCACAUACCAGUCAUUUAUGUGACAAUGACCACACAAAAUAUCCUGCUGAGGUUCAUAAAUAAUUAAACAGAUAAUCCACGUUUUGACACUGUUAACAUAUAAAUGAUUUUUAAAAGUAGAAUAAAACUACACUUCAAGAAGACAAAUUGAAAAAUCAGUCACGAUAGAACGGAAGGCCAUCUAAUUCUGACAAAUUCUAAGGCCAUGUAGGUCUGUCUGCUGAAGGCUCACUGGCUUACAGAGAAAAAUACCUGGAGUCCAUCACAAGUAAAAAGCAGUCUAAUGCAGUUUGUUUUGUUUUUUUCUUCUAUUUGGAAAGUAUACAAAUAUACUUGAAUUAAAGCGCUUCCCGUUCCAUAGUCCAUUAAGGCAGGAACCCAGGUUUCCAAUUCAAUGGUACAUCUUUCUCUGGCUGAGAAAAAUGACAUGGACAAAAUGUGAUUUGAAAAGAGUAUUUACAUUUUUUUGUUUCAUUACAGUUCUUAAAAGUGAUAAUCCCCUCGUGCCAUUUACGCUGAAAUAACAGAAACUGGAAUAGCGAAGCCCCGCAGCAGUGAGCGACCGAGAAGCCCCGGGUGAUGCUAAGCGAGCCCCGGCCCUCAACGCCGUGCACGGUUGUUUCCACAGGAAGCAGCCUGCUGCGUGUGGACCCCAGCGGGAGUAUUCCACUAACUCCAACACUCCAUUGCCUGCGCUGCCAGGUACUUCACAGCUUCUGGAAAGCCACACUUCUUUCUACCACAAGGAAAAGUGAAAAUGGCGCACCCUAUCAUUCAUUCAUUCAUUUUCCGAGAAACGUGGGAAUCGGGAGCCCCGUCCUGCCGGCGCAGGGCUGAGGCAGCGAAGGUGGACGGGCGACCUCCUGAAGAUCACACGCGCCGUGGCCGUUCGGAUGCUCUUUAGGCUUUUAAGGAAGGUUUCAAGGAAGAUCAGAGACUGAUCCGCCAGCGCACAGCACCAGGAGGAAAUCAGGUGGCCGUUCCUACGACGUUUUGUUACGAAUCUUCAAGCAAAAACUACAUCCUCCGGUGGCACCAGCCCCGCCAAAGGGGCAACGAGGCUGCUGUGGAGCGAAGGCCCGGCGGGUCCGCGUCGCGCUCGGAGGAGGCGGGGCAGGGGGGCGGGGAGCGGCUCUCCGUCGGGUCCCAGGCCCGCGCCCGCAGGCACGCUUUCCGCGGAGCAGACGCCGCUCG